rnacentral:tRNA from 1 species
GCCCUCGUGGCGGAAUUGGUAGACGCACUAGACUUAGGAUCUAGCGCCACUGGCGUGUCAGUUCGAGUCUGACCGAGGGCA